CGGAGCCAAAAGCUUGGGGUUCAAGAUGGCAGUUUAAAGUACAGCGUGCCAAGUGCGGCCCUGUGGGAUGUUCGCUGUAUGCCAAGUCGCAGUUUGCUAUUUGUGCGCGCCGGGCCUCCGAACUACUCUGCCCCCGCGCCCGCGCCCCGCGCCCUUCGACCAUAGACAAUGCUAGUUAGACGGGCCACUGUUCUAAUACGGGUGAGCGAGCAUUUUUAAUGCAGUUCAUUUUGCCGGAAGGCGUAAUUUUUUGCUAAGAAAAUUUGCAAGUCCAGGAAAAUAGGGGAGACUUCGUUGUAUUUUUCGUCUAUC